UUGAUGGUUGUUGACCAUUGUGUGCCCUUGUUAAGUCCUUCAAGCCUAUUAAAUCCACAUUCAAGUAGUUUUGUUCCUGCUCCAUACAAGAGUGCCUGAAGUUAGUUUUUCUCUUGUGCGUUCAUAUUGUUCUUUAAGAGCACCAUCUUGAAUCUGUCAAAAUAAAGACCGUUCUCAAGUAAACCACCACCUUUUUCCCAUGUAUCUCAACACUGGAUCUUCACCAAGAGGAUUAGUGAGAGCCAUUUAAGACGAAGGAGGAAGCCAUAGCCAUCAGGCCCAGAGACCAGGUGGAGUUUUCUGGCCAUAAAAGGCAGCUUGUGUGGAACAGCCAUGCUGGGUAGAAUUGGCAUCUUGUGUUGCAGGAUGGGGUAGAUCAUCAACAUAGCAGUUGUUGACUUCCAGAAGCCGGUCUCCAUCUUGAAG